rnacentral:tRNA from 1 species
CGAUGGUCUAGUUGGUUAUGGCAUCUGCUUAACACGCAGAACGUCCCCAGUUCGAUCCUGGGUCG